rnacentral:misc_RNA from 1 species
AAGUCGUAACAAGGUUUCCGUAGGUGAACCUGCGGAAGGAUCAUUAAUGAAUUCAAGAGAGUUGAUGCUGGCGGUCUUGUGGCUGCAUGUGCUCGCUCUCCUAAUCCAAUUUACACCUGUGCACUUAACUUUGAAGGGAGGGUAAAACCUGCCUUCGAAAUAUUUAAACUCUUAUAUAACGAAUGUUUAUCUGCCGCAAGGCAAAAUUUAAUACAACUUUUAACAACGGAUCUCUUGGCUCUC